CUUACUAGGUCAGGACACAGUAAGGAUUGACAGAUUGAAAGCUCUUUCUUGAUUUUGUGGAUGGUGGUGCAUGGCCGUUUUUAGUUGGUGGAUUGAUUUGUCUGGUUAAAUUCCGAAAACGAACGAGACCUUAACCUGUUAACUAUGUGAUGUUAAAAUUCGACUUCGGUCUCAAUAUUUGAUAUUAAAAUUUAAUACUUCUUAAAGGAACAAUUCAAACUUUAAUUGAAUGGAAGUUUAAGGCAAAAACAGGUCUGUGAUGCCCUUCGAUGUUCUGGGCUGCACGCGCGUUACACUGAUAUGUUCAAUGAGUUUUAAAUUUCCUAGUCUGAAAAGAACGUGGUAAACUUAGAAAACAUAUCGUGAUUGGAAUAGUAUUUGUAAUUAUCGCACUUGAACGAGGAAUUCCUAGUAAGUGCAGGUCAUUAGCCUGCGCUGAUUAAGUCCCUGCCC
rnacentral:rRNA from 1 species